rnacentral:rRNA from 1 species
UACGUAGGGGGCGAGCGUUGUCCGGAGUUACUGGGCGUAAAGGGCACGCAGGCGGUCAUGUAAGUCUGUUCUGACAGCUCCUGGCUCAACCGGGAGAGGCGAACGGAAACUGUAUGACUUGGGGACUUCAGAGGGACACGGAAUUCCGGGUGGAGUGGUGAAAUGCGUAGAGAUCCGGAGGAACACCAAAGGCGAAGGCAGUGUCCUGGGAAGUACCUGACGCUCAGGUGCGAAAGCCAGGGGAGCGAACGGG